UGCCUGCAGCUGGACUCGAACCAGCGAUCUUCGCAUCAUCUUAAUGGCUUACAAGUGCGACGCGUUACCCCUGCGCCAUGCGGGC
rnacentral:tRNA from 1 species